rnacentral:rRNA from 1 species
UAAUAGCGUAUAUUAAAGUUGUUGCAGUUAAAAAGCUCGUAGUUGGAUUUCUGGUACAAUGCGCCUGGCCCGCGGCAGUAAUGCCUGUGAGUGCCGGUGCGCGUUGGCCAUCCUUCUAGAAAACGUUUCUACCAUUAACUUGGCUGGACUCGCGAUCUAGAUCUUUUACUUUGAAAAAUUAGAGUGUUCAAAGCAGGCUUUUGCUGUGAAUACAUUAGCAUGGAAUAAUAAUCUAGGACUUCGGUUUUAUUUUGUUGGUUCUAAAAUUGAAGUAAUGAUUGAUAGGGAUAGUUGGGGGGUGCUAGUAUUGGCCGGCCAGAGGUGAAAUUCUUGGAUUCGGUCAAGACUAACUUAUGCGAAAGCAUUCACCAAGGAUGUCUUCUUUAAUCAAGAACGAAAGUUGGGGGAUCGAAGACGAUCAGAUACCA